rnacentral:rRNA from 1 species
GACAAUGGGCGAGAGCCUGAUCCAGCCAUGCCGCGUGCAGGAAGACUGCCCUAUGGGUUGUAAACUGCUUUUGUAUAGGAAGAAACCUUUCCUCGUGAGGAAAAUUGACGGUACUAUAAGAAUAAGGAUCGGCUAACUCCGUGCCAGCAGCCGCGGUAAUACGGAGGAUCCAAGCGUUAUCCGGAAUCAUUGGGUUUAAAGGGUCCGUAGGUGGACAAAUAAGUCAGAGGUGAAAUCCUGCAGCUCAACUGUAGAACUGCCUUUGAUACUGUUUGUCUUGAGUUAUUAUGAAGUGGUUAGAAUGUGUAGUGUAGCGGUGAAAUGCAUAGAUAUUACACAGAAUACCGAUUGCGAAGGCAGAUCACUAAUAAUUAACUGACACUGAGGGACGAAAGCGUGGGUAGCGAACAGGAUUAGAUACCCUGGUAGUCCACGCCGUAAACGAUGGUCACUAGCUGUUUGGACUUCGGUCUGAGUGGCUAAGCGAAAGUGAUAAGUGACCCACCUGGGGAGUACGUUCGCAAGAAUGAAACUCAAAGGAAUUGACGGGGGCCCGCACAAGCGGUGGAGCAUGUGGUUUAAUUCGAUGAUACGCGAGGAACCUUACC